rnacentral:rRNA from 1 species
GACAGAGGUGCCAAGCGUUAGGCGGAAUCACUGGGCUUAAAGCGUGUGUAGGCGGAUCGUUAAGUACCUUGUGAAAUCCCACGGCUCAACCGUGGAACUGCUGGGUAUACUGGCGAUCUUGAGCCACCUAGGGGCGAGCGGAACAAGCGGUGGAGCGGUGAAAUGCGUAGAUAUCGCUUGGAACGCCAACGGUGAAAACAGCUCGCUGGGGGUGUGCUGACACUGAGACACGAAAGCCAGGGGAGCGAACGGG